rnacentral:rRNA from 1 species
ACACGUGAUUCAGAGUUUGAUCCUGGCUCAGAGUGAACGCUGGCGGUAGGCCUAACACAUGCAAGUCGAACGGCAGCACAGUAAGAGCUUGCUCUUAUGGGUGGCGAGUGGCGGACGGGUGAGGAAUACAUCGGAAUCUACCUUUUCGUGGGGGAUAACGUAGGGAAACUUACGCUAAUACCGCAUACGACCUUCGGGUGAAAGCAGGGGACCUUCGGGCCUUGCGCGGAUAGAUGAGCCGAUGUCGGAUUAGCUAGUUGGUGAGAUAACUGCCCACCAAGGCGACGAUCAGUAGCCGACCUGAGAGGGUGAUCGGCCACAUUGGAACUGAGACACGGUCCAA